rnacentral:rRNA from 1 species
GACGAACGCUGGCGGCGUGCUUAACACAUGCAAGUCGAACGGACAGGCCCUGCUUUUGUGGGGUGCUCGAGUGGCGAACGGGUGAGUAACACGUGAGUAACCUGCCCUUGACUUUGGGAUAACUUCAGGAAACUGGGGCUAAUACCGGAUAGGAGCUCCUGCUGCAUGGUGGGGGUUGGAAAGUUUCGGCGGUUGGGGCUGGACUCGCGGCUUAUCCGCUUGUUGGUGGGGUAGUGGCUUACCAAGGCUUUGACGGGUAGCCGGCCUGAGAGGGUGACCGGCCACAUUGGGACUGAGAGACGGCCCAGACUCCUACGGGAGGCAGCAGUGGGGAAUAUUGCACAAUGGGCGGAAGCCUGAUGCAGCGACGCCGCGUGCGGGAUGACGGCCUUCGGGUUGUAAACCGCUUUCGCCUGUGACGAAGCGUGAGUGACGGUAAUGGGUAAAGAAGCACCGGCUAACUACGUG